rnacentral:antisense_RNA from 1 species
CUUUGAACAACUAGGACAUUUCAUAAGUUGUCCUCCUGAUGCUGAUGCUGAUCCUGCUCCUG